GACAACUGGCUUGUGGUUGGCCAAGCAUUCAUAGCCACGUCGCUUUUUUGAUCCUUCAAUGUCAGUUUUUUUCUAUUGUUGUGAAGCAGAAUUCACCAAACAUUGGGUAGUUCACCUACUAACAGGGAACAUGAGCUGUGUUUAGACAGUUGUGAGACAGGUU
rnacentral:ncRNA from 1 species